GUGUCAGCAGCCGCGGUAACACGUAGGGCGCGAGCGUUGUCCGGAAUUAUUGGGCGUAAAGAGCUCGUAGGCGGCCUGUUGCGUCCGCUGUGAAAGCCCGGGGCUUAACCCCGGGUCGGCAGUGGAUACGGGCAGGCUAGAGGUAGGUAGGGGAGAAUGGAAUUCCCGGUGUAGCGGUGAAAUGCGCAGAUAUCGGGAGGAACACCGGUGGCGAAGGCGGUUCUCUGGGCCUUACCUGACGCUGAGGAGCGAAAGCGUGGGGAGCGAACAGGAUUAGAUACCCUGGUAGUCC
rnacentral:rRNA from 1 species